rnacentral:rRNA from 1 species
GACGAACGCUGGCGGCGUGCCUAAUACAUGCAAGUAGAACGCUGAAGGAGGAGCUUGCUUCUCUGGAUGAGUUGCGAACGGGUGAGUAACGCGUAGGUAACCUGCCUGGUAGCGGGGGAUAACUAUUGGAAACGAUAGCUAAUACCGCAUAAUAGUAGAUGUUACAUGACAUUUGCUUAAAAGGUGCAAUUGCAUCACUACCAGAUGGACCUGCGUUGUAUUAGCUAGUUGGUGGGGUAACGGCUCACCAAGGCGACGAUACAUAGCCGACCUGAGAGGGUGAUCGGCCACACUGGGACUGAGACACGGCCCAGACUCCUACGGGAGGCAGCAGUAGGGAAUCUUCGGCAAUGGACGGAAGUCUGACCGAGCAACGCCGCGUGAGUGAAGAAGGUUUUCGGAUCGUAAAGCUCUGUUGUAAGAGAAGAACGAGUGUGAGAGUGGAAAGUUCACACUGUGACGGUAUCUUACCAGAAAGGGACGGCUAACUACGUG